rnacentral:rRNA from 1 species
AUUGAACGCUGGCGGCAGGCCUAACACAUGCACGUCGAACGGAGUGGCGGACGGGUGAGUCACGUAUGGGAACCUGCCUGGUAGAGGGGGCUAACUUCUGGAAACGGUCGCUAAUACCGCAUACCAUCAGAUUGUCCUAGGUGGGAUUGGCUUGUUGGUGGGGUAAAGGCUCACCACGGCGACGAUCCCUAACUGGUCUGAGAGGAUGAUCAGCCACACUGGAACUGAGACACGGUCCAGACUCCUACGGGAGGCAGCAGUGGGGAAUAUUGGACAAUGGGCGAAAGCCUGAUCCAGCCAUGCCGCGUGUGUGAAGAAGGUCUUCGGAUUGUAAAGCACUUUAAGUAGGGAGGCGUUACCAACAGAAUAAGCACCGGCUAACUUCGUGCCAGCAGCCGCGGUAAUUC